GAUGAACGCUGGCGGCGUGCCUAAUACAUGCAAGUCGAGCGAACAGACGAGGAGCUUGCUCCUCUGACGUUAGCGGCGGACGGGUGAGUAACACGUGGAUAACCUACCUAUAAGACUGGGAUAACUUCGGGAAACCGGAGCUAAUACCGGAUAAUAUAUUGAACCGCAUGGUUCAAUAGUGAAAGACGGUUUUGCUGUCACUUAUAGAUGGAUCCGCGCCGCAUUAGCUAGUUGGUAAGGUAACGGCUUACCAAGGCAACGAUGCGUAGCCGACCUGAGAGGAUGACCGGCAACACUGGCACUGAGACACGGUCCAGACGACUGCGGGAGGCAGCAGUAGGGAAUCUUCGGCAAUGGGCGAAAGCCUGACGAAGCAACGCCGCGUGAGUGAUGAAGGUCUUCGGAUCGUAAAACUCUGUUAUUAGGGAAGAACAAAUGUGUAAGUAACUAUGCACGUCUUGACGGUACCGGAUCAGAAAGCCCCGGCUAACUACGUG
rnacentral:rRNA from 1 species